UUUCCGGAACGUGACAUAAUGUUGAACAAUCCACAUGACGUUGUGGCGCAAUUAUUCGAGGACAAAAAACAAUUCAAAGAACGUGAAACAGAAAAACCAAUGGAAAUAGAUGAAGAAAGUAACACUUUAAUUGCGGACGUCAAUUCGGAUAAUGAAGUAUACUUCAGACAAUAAACGGCUACGGACCAAGUUCAACUUCUAUACGGAAACUGGCUGUUUAAUUAAUUGGGUUUUCCGAGUGGUAUGAUUAUCGGCCAAGUAGAGCAAUACAAUCUCAAACGCCACAUGUACAUUUCACUUACGCGAUUGGAAAAAGAUUUGACAAGUCCCUAUGAAAACAAAUGUUGCAGUUUUAUACAAGAAAUUUUAUGUGGCAACCGAAUUCACGAAGACUGGGUGUUCACUUUCAA